GAUGAACGCUGACGGCGUGCCUAAUACAUGUAAGUCGAGCGAACGGACGAGAAGCUUGCUUCUCUGAUGUUAGCGGCGGACGGGUGAGUAACACGUGGAUAACCUACCUAUAAGACUGGGAUAACUUCGGGAAACCGGAGCUAAUACCGGAUGAUAUUUUGAACCGCAUGGUUCAAAAGUGAAAGACGGUCUUGCUGUCACUUAUAGAUGGAUCCGCGCUGCAUUAGCUAGUUGGUAAGGUAACGGCUUACCAAGGCAACGAUGCAUAGCCGACCUGAGAGGGUGAUCGGCCACACUGGAACUGAGACACGGUCCAGACUCCUACGGGAGGCAGCAGUAGGGAAUCUUCCGCAAUGGGCGAAAGCCUGACGGAGCAACGCCGCGUGAGUGAUGAAGGUCUUCGGAUCGUAAAACUCUGUUAUUAGGGAAGAACAUAUGUGUAAGUAACUGUGCACAUCUUGACGGUACCUAAUCAGAAAGCCACGGCUAACUACGUG
rnacentral:rRNA from 1 species